UACGUAGGGGGCAAGCGUUGUCCGGAUUUAUUGGGCGUAAAGAGCGUGUAGGCGGCUAGGUAGGUCCGUUGUGAAAACUCGAGGCUCAACCUCGAGACGUCGAUGGAAACCAUCUAGCUAGAGUCCGGAAGAGGAGAGUGGAAUUCCUGGUGUAGCGGUGAAAUGCGCAGAUAUCGAGAGGAACACCUGCGGCGAAGGCGGGUUGCUGGGCUGACACUGACGCUGAUGCGCGAAAGCCAGGGGAGCGAACGGG
rnacentral:rRNA from 1 species